GCAAGUCGAACGGUAACAUUGAAGCUUGCUUUAGAUUACGAGUGGCGCACGGGUGAGUAACGCGUACACAAUCUACCUAUCACAGGAGGAUAGCCUCGGGAAACUGAGAAUAAUACUCCAUAGUAUUUCGGCGUCGCAUGACCCUGUUAUUAAAGUUCCCGCGGUGAUAGAUGAGUGUGCGUGCCAUUAGAUAGUUGGUGAGGUAACGGCUCACCAAGUCUGCGAUGGCUAGGGGGCGUGAGAGCGUGAUC
rnacentral:rRNA from 1 species